ensembl:lncRNA
GACCAUGACGGGGACCCCCGCGACAGCCACGACAUGAAGAAGAAGAAAGGUAUUCUGUCCAAGGGGAAGAAGCUGCUGAAGAGGCUUUCCCCCGUCAACAAGUAACACGGCACAUAAGCGCACGCCGUUCCCGUGGCGACGCCCGGGCCGCCGGUCCCGCCAUCGCUUCUAAUCUCGCGACGUGCGGCGGCGAGGAGGAGGGGAUGUGCACGUGUGUGUGUGUGUGUGUGUGUGUGUGUGUGUGUGUGUGUGUGUGUGUGUGUGUGUGUGUGUGUGUGUGUGUGUGUGUGUGUGUGUGUAUAGGACUGUUUGAAUAUAAUCAUGUGAUCGCUUGUUUCCGUUUUAACUAUGGAUUGAUUUCAUGAUGUACAGUGCGCCGUGCCAAAUCAAGAGAGCGAGAGAGAAAGUCUCACAAAGCUACAUUAUAACUGUGAUUUCUUUUAUUCCAGAGGCGAGGGUUUUUUCAUGACAUGUAGGCCUAAAUCGUACCAGUUGAAGUGAAACAGAACCUUAUCUCAAGCAGGGUAGUCAUGGAAGACACAUUUAAUUAUUAUUUUUUAUAUCUAUAUAUAAAAAAUAUAUAUAUAUAUAUGAUUUUAUGAAACCUCAAAACAAAAACAUGUCAAAACCAUCCAUAUUGUGGAGGAUCGAUGUCAAUACUGGAAGGUAGAUGCUGUUUUUCCUAAAACAAUCCUAACAGGACUGUUGAGGGAGGCAUUGGGGAGGUAAUGCUGGCUGCUCAUAAACACAGAGGCUUUAGUCAAAGCAAUACGGUAGAAAAGGUGGUGGCCAUACAUGGCUUACCACACCAAGGAUCACACGGAUACAAAACAGAUAUUUUUUAUGUGCCUGCGAGUUUAGCAGAUAAAGCCUCAGUGAUGAAGGGAACUCAAAACAUGGACAGGCACUAACAUGGGCAUUACAGCAAAACAGGACAUGUGCAACGACAGUCAAGCAACGCCGUUUCAGUGGCCUUCAUAAAAACAAUACGAGCUGACAUUCCUUGGGUUUUUCUGUCUGACAAGGGUUGAUUUUCUCAAUACAAAAUUGUGUUUUUCUUUUUUGGUUUCUGCCAAGAAUCACUGUUGCGUUGUCAUUUUUGGAAGAAAAUCAUUCGGGGGAAAUAUGUUAUUGUGGUCUUGAAAACCGUCAUGACAACGUAAGUCCCAGACAACAUUCUGUUUGUCUUCCUAUUGCACAAAGCGUGUGUGUUUCCUCAGAGGAUCGGGACAGACGUCACUUUUUUUCGUGCCUGUGUGUGUAUGUGUGUGUCUGAAUGAGCAUGCGUGUCUAUGUGUGUGGGCAGUUUGUUGUAUGUGUGUGUGUCUGUGUGUGUAUGUGUGUGUGUAUGCUGCCUUCAUGCUCGUGCAUACGUUUGUUUUCUAAACUAACUUAAAGAAAAAAAAAGAAACAGCCAUGUCUUCAGGGAUCUUAGUGGUCCAGUGCUGCUAAUCCCACCGCCAUCGCUUUACGGUUUCCUCUUGCGGGUAUAAGGGGACGAAUACAGGGCACUGAUUGGUCCAUCGUGGAACAUAAAAGGUGUUCAAGGUGCAUCGUUAUCUGAUCAUCAUCAUCAUCGUUAUCGAGAACUCGCUCAAAUCCAAAAUUUUAACCCAAGUCUAUGCUACAUAGUUCUAUGUGAUAUAUUAUUACCGUAUAAUUGCACAAAUCUGCACAAAUCUAUGAGUGCCACGGGGAAGAUUUAGUGUUAUUGCGUUGGCUAUGGAUAGUUGGAACACUAAUGAUUAUUGUUUAAUGAUAUAACUAUAAUGAGCUCCGACAAAGAAUAAGCUAGUAUAGAUAGUACAUCAUCAUAGCUAGUGUAGUGCAAUAUUGAUAUGUGACAUCAUGUCACUGAUCAACAUUGCGUGCUGCUUUCUAAUUUUCUGGAUCAUUUAAUGUUAACCAGUUUUCCUUUUCCCUUAUUCAAAAUAAUGGCCUUAAAUCUAAACUACGAGGGAAAAUGGGCAGGAUAACAGAUUAUCUGGGAAAUGGUCAACCAAUCACUCUCUAGAUGUUAAUGUAGCCUCUAAAUAUGUCCGUUCCAGUUGAAGAUAACAUUGUCUCGACAUUAAGUCUCAGAGGGACAAUGCUUCAAGGGCAUGUGUGCAUAAAAGAAGAGAUUUUUCAUGGAAAAGAGCUGUAAAUUAAGCUCCAAUAAUCUAAAGUAAAUGAUCAGUCCUCGGGAAACAUUUAACAGACAUCAUUUCCAUACAGGUUCCCCAAUUCUUACAUUUUCUUUCAAAUAAGUGUGUGGACUUUUCUCGAUUUUAAACACCUGCACUGGAACACAAAGCAGCCUAUAACUAAUUGGGGGAAGUUGGGAGUGCAAGCUAGAGAUGGAGUUGAAAUCAGAAAGAAACAGGGUUACUCCUUAGAUAUGCUAUUUAAUAUUUGACAAAAAUAAAAAGUUGGCUUUCCAUCAUGGAAUGUAUGACGCAAAAUGGAGGCAAAGACAUGCAAAUGGAUUAUUAUAUGUUUUGUUGCUUUCAUUUUAUUCCAAAGCAAUCUCUACAGACAAAAGCCUCUGCGUUCAUUCACUGCAAAUUAAAAAUAAAAGGGUAUUUAAUGGUCCUAAUACCAAAAACAAUCAUUUGUGAAUGGGUUAGUGUCUCUUAAUGCCAUUGCUCUUUUGUACUUUGGUCCAUUUGUAGGUCAUUUCUAAAUGUUUCUACUUUGAUUUUUUCGCAAUUUCCUCUCCUGUAAAAACCAUUGUGUCCUUUCAAAUGAGAUGUUUCAGUCACUAGUUCUGUGUUUGCUCUGUGAAUCAAAGAUAACAAAAAGAAAGAAAAUAUUGGACAAUGUUUAUGGUGAAUAAUUGUGUGUGAGUGUGUGCAUGUGCAAAACAAAUUACACAUUUUAUAAUCAAAAUAAAUUUGAUAUUUUUUAAAAAUAAAUGAG